rnacentral:rRNA from 1 species
GACGAACGCUGGCGGCGUGCCUAAUACAUGCAAGUAGAACGCUGAAGGAGGAGCUUGCUUCUCUGGAUGAGUUGCGAACGGGUGAGUAACGCGUAGGUAACCUGCCUGGUAGCGGGGGAUAACUAUUGGAAACGAUAGCUAAUACCGCAUAAUAGUAGAUGUUGCAUGACAUUUGCUUAAAAGGUGCAAUUGCAUCACUACCAGAUGGACCUGCGUUGUAUUAGCUAGUUGGUGAGGUAACGGCUCACCAAGGCGACGAUACAUAGCCGACCUGAGAGGGGGAUCGGCCACAAUGGGACGGAGACACGGCCCAGACUCCUACGGGAGGCAGCAGUAGGGAAUCUUCGGCAAUGGACGGAAGUCUGACCGAGCAACGCCGCGUGAGUGAAGAAGGUUGUCGGAUCGUAAAGCUCUGUUGUAAGAGAAGAACGAGUGUGAGAGUGGAAAGUUCACACUGUGACGGUAUCUUACCAGAAAGGGACGGCUAACUACGUG